CCCUCUGCAUAGUAAGCCUGGGCUUCUCAAGAUCCUCAAGAUCUUUGAUCAUUGUCAUACAAUGAUCAUGUACUGACUUCCCAUCAUGCAUCUUCAUAUUGAACAACCACUUAGACAACUUUUCAAGGUACCGUCAGUAGUGACCAGCAUAUUAACCAACUUGAAUAAGUUGCAGUCUAAUUUGUUCAUAUGAUAGUUUAUGAUAAACAAUCUAAACGAACUAGUCAG
rnacentral:lncRNA from 1 species